rnacentral:lncRNA from 1 species
UUUUAUUUUUACUAAAUCAAAUGGAUUGAACAGGCUUUUUGGUAUUUAUUUUAAACACACACACACACACACACAACUUCUAUUUGUAUGUAAUAUAAAUAACGGAAGUUUUUUUUUACGUUAGAUAAAACGGACAUACAUGAACAUUACAGCUGAUUGCAUUGAGUGUGUAGGUAAAGGUAAUAUCUUUGGUUAGCUUGCUGACUGAACCGUGAAGCCAUUAUUAUGUUAGGUAAACUACCCUCCUUUAAAAGUAUACUAGACCGACAAAUAACCAAUCUAUGUGUCUGUAAGACUAGAUUUUUUCGAAAGGAGGGAAGUAAAACAAAAGAACCAAAGAUAUAUUACCUUUACCUACAUACUCAAUGCAAUCGGUUGUAAUUACUUUAUUCGAUUCACAUUUGUUUUAACAUAGAUCUACAUAGAGUCAUUCGAAAUGAAUUUAUGGGUGUGUGUUAUCACCCGAAUACAAAUUCAACUUAAUCAAUUAUGAUUUAUAUAACAGAACUACUUUAAUACUUUCUUGAAGGUUCUAUAUACAAAAUAUGUUUUAACUAAAUGCAUUUUGUUUUUGAUGUAUGAAUUAAAUGAUUGUCACUUGAAGCAAUUUGUGGGAAAUUUUGCAUACGCAAAGGACAUGAUUGUUGCUAUUGAUCCAUUUCCCUUUGCUGUUUCAGAGCAUCCCUUACGAACCCACAACUAUUGUUUUAUGUACAUAUUAUUAAUUUGAACUUUUUGAAGUGUCGUGUAUGGUUUUUUUUUGUGUACAUGUAAUACAAUGUGUAAUCUUUGCAUUUUAACCCGCCGCCCGGGUUUUGAUUUUUGCAAUGAAGAUUGUCAUUUAAGUUUAACCAUAUGUAUGUCCUUCAUCCUAAUCUGUC